UACGUAGGUCCCGAGCGUUGUCCGGAUUUAUUGGGCGUAAAGCGAGCGCAGGUGGUUUAUUAAGUCUGGUGUAAAAGGCAGUGGCUCAACCAUUGUAUGCAUUGGAAACUGGUAGACUUGAGUGCAGGAGAGGAGAAUGAAAUUCCAUGUGUAGCGGUGAAAUGCGUAGAUAUAUGGAGGAACACCGGUGGCGAAAGCGGCUCUCUGGCCUGUAACUGACACUGAGGCUCGAAAGCGUGGGGAGCAAACAGG
rnacentral:rRNA from 1 species